GAUUAACUUGAUAAGAAAGCAUGGUAUAUUCUUAAAGAAUAUUUUCUCUACUUUUAGAAUAUGUAAAAAUUAUUGUUAUUACUUUAAGGUAUAUUUUAAAAACAAGAAUUUUCUUGCACUUAUGUGUUUUUUAUCGAUUUUAUUCGUAAUAUUUAAACAAAGCUCAGUUUUACGUUUAUUUCUGUGUUGAAAUAGGGAAAACAAAAUAAAGCUGGUAAAAGUAGAGAAAAUUUCCUUUCCAACAAGCCCUUAUAGGCCUUCUUCCGCUCAGUAUUUUCUUAAUUACGAUAAUUUGAAUUUGUGACCUUUGCAUAGUUUUUAUGGAAAAAUCGGUCAAUAUUUACAUGUAACGUCAAGGUCGAUAUUGUUGCGUCUUACUCGAAACAACAUAUUCUUUUAUAAGACUUUUUUGACCAUUCAAAUAUAUUUUUUACUGAAAUAAAUGCAUAAUACAAAAAAAAAUAGAUUUCAAAAAACAAAUAUAUACUUUCGUUCUGUCUUUUGUGAAGUGAAUGUUGAUUGUAAUGAUGUAUAUUUCAUGAAGUGAUAUACAAUAUUGAUGAAAAUUGUAGAUUUCCAAAACGGCGAUCUUUACUAGAAAAAAAUCAAUCAGAUUUUUAAUAUUGUUGUAUCUUGUUAUACUGUAUACUUAUUAAUUUGCAAUUUAAUUAGAUCUAUAUUUUACAAUACAAAAACUCGCAUUUAUAAAUAAAUACGACUCAUCACUGUAUGAGUUGAUACGAAUUGAAAUAAACACGUGUUUCCGCUUUGGUGUAAACAUGAUGGUGAUCCGAAAUCUGAACGUCAAUUUUCAUGAUUAUUUCACGACGAAGAUCAUCACAUCAAUGAAUCAAAUAAUACGAACAUGCCUUUGGUAUUAGCAGGUAAGAAUACGUGUAUAUUGACUGAAAAGUUUAAGUUUAAAACGCAAUAGUUCACGUUCAAAAGAAAACUAAAUGUACACAUGUACUAGAUCUUUAUGUUUCAGUGUGCGUGUUUCGUAUCGUUCAGCCAAUUUUGCAUUGCUUUUGAACUUUGAUGCUCAAUUUAACAAUCACUCGGUGCUUUCAGCAUUGCAACAAUACUUUCAUCUGUGAAUACCCAUUUUCUAAGCCCACCAUGAACUACGAAGGUUAAUUAAUAUGUAAGGACACCAAUGAACAGACACUUUUCAAUUAUCCUACAUCAUAUACAUGGGUGGUCAAACUCACUGGAUGGUUUAUCAACACUCCCAUGCUCACAAACAGCCUUGCGCCAGGAAUUUUGCCCUGAAGUGACAUUGCAGUCUAUUGUCUCCUUUCUUUUUACAACCCUGGCAGCCAUGCAGGAUAGAAGCUGAUCACUUGUACUUGACAGCAAAUAAUAAUGUCUUGGACAAGUCAAAGAAUUUCCUCCGAUCUUACAGAGAAAUGACAGUUGAUAAAAGAAUGGUGGACACAAAGUAAAAGUGCUCUUCAACAUUUUGUUGAAGAUUUCAGUCUGAUUUGGAAUUCAUCUUGCAAUAUUUCUGUAUUUGUAUAUUUGGAUAUAAGCUACAAAUUUUCAACUUAUUGACUAAACAGUUUUGCAUUUAAUAUUGCCAAUGCUAUCUAUUAUUAUUAUUUCCCUCCAAGAUAACAUGUCAAGUCUUUAUUGUACCCCUUAAGCUCUGUUAUAUCAGAAAAAUCUUGUAAUGAAAUCAUUUAGUUUUUUUUCUUGUUAAAUUAAAUCCAUGAAAAUAAAGAUUAUUUUUAAUGUCAUCAAGAGAAUGGAUUUCUUGUUUAACAAAAAGAUAGUAUACA